AACGAACGCUGGCGGCAUGCCUAACACAUGCAAGUCGAACGAGACCUUCGGGUCUAGUGGCGCACGGGUGCGUAACGCGUGGGAAUCUGCCCUUCGGUUGGGAAUAACUGAGAGAAAUUUCAGCUAAUACCUUAUAAUGUCUUCGGACCAAAGAUUUAUCGCCGAGGGAUGAGCCCGCGUAGGAUUAGGUAGUUGGUGGGGUAAUGGCCUACCAAGCCGACGAUCCUUAGCUGGUCUGAGAGGAUGAUCAGCCACACUGGGACUGAGACACGGCCCAGACUCCUACGGGAGGCAGCAGUGGGGAAUAUUGGACAAUGGGCGAAAGCCUGAUCCAGCAAUGCCGCGUGAGUGAUGAAGGCCUUAGGGUUGUAAAGCUCUUUUACCAGGGAUGAUAAUGACAGUACCUGGAGAAUAAGCUCCGGCUAACUCCGUGCCAGCAGCCGCCGUAAUAC
rnacentral:rRNA from 1 species